GUUCAGCGAGCAAAUUGUUAUAACUAGCCGAUUUCUACUUUUUCCAUGUUGUUCUGGAAGAUGAGCGGUUUCAAUCUCAGAAAGAGGGCUCGGGUCUGCUACUACGAGCCAGAGGAGCCUCCCUUCGACGAGUUCAUUUACUGCUCUGAGUGCCGGGACUAUGUGUAUGAGUACUGUGCAAUACAUGGCCCGUUACUCGUUAUACCCGAUGACAAGGGGCGGGAAUAGGCGUGUUCAGCACGCUGACGCUGCCCAGCGGCGUGCGCUUCGGGCCCUACCGCGGCCGCCGCCUCAAGACCGCGCUCGACUCCGGAUACGAAUGGCAGCUGUACGACCGCAACAACAAGCCGAGCCACGUGGUGGACGCGAGCGACGGCAACAACUCCAACUGGAUGCGAUACGUGAACUGCGCGCGGCGCUACUCCGAGCAGAACCUGGUCGCCUUCCAGUACCAGGGCGAGCUCUACUACA